rnacentral:rRNA from 1 species
UACGUAGGGAGCAAGCGUUGUCCGGAAUCAUUGGGCGUAAAGCGCGCGUAGGUGGCCUCAUAAGUCCGCUGUGAAAGUCAAAGGCUCAACCUUUGAAAGCCGGUGGAUACUGUGAGGCUAGAGUACGGAAGAGGCGAGUGGAAUUCCUGGUGUAGCGGUGGAAUGCGCAGAUAUCAGGAGGAACACCAAUAGCGAAGGCAGCUCGCUGGGACGUUACUGACACUGAGGCGCGAAAGCGUGGGGAGCGAACGGG